AUACGGAGGGUCCAAGCGUUAUCCGGAAUCAUUGGGUUUAAAGGGUCCGCAGGCGGUCAAUUAAGUCAGAGGUGAAAGCCCAUCGCUCAACGAUGGAACUGCCUUUGAUACUGGUUGACUUGAGUUAUACGGAAGUAGAUAGAAUAAGUAGUGUAGCGGUGAAAUGCAUAGAUAUUACUUAGAAUACCGAUUGCGAAGGCAGUCUACUACGUAUAUACUGACGCUGAGGGACGAAAGCGUGGGGAGCGAACAGGAUUAGAAACCCCGGUAGUCC
rnacentral:rRNA from 1 species